CCUACGGGGGGCAGCAGUGAGGAAUAUUGGUCAAUGGACGAGAGUCUGAACCAGCCAAGUAGCGUGAAGGAUGACUGCCCUAUGGGUUGUAAACUUCUUUUAUAAAGGAAUAAAACGAGGCACGUGUGCCUUUUUGCAUGUACUUUAUGAAUAACGAUCGGCUAACUCCGUGCCACCAGCCGCGGUAAUACGGAGGAUCCGAGCGUUAUCCGGAUUUAUUGGGUUUAAAGGGAGCGUAGAUGGGUUGUUAAGUCAGGUGUGAAAGUUUGCGGCUCAACCGUAAAAUUGCAAUUGAUACUGGAAGUCUUGAGUACAGUUGAGGUAGGCGGAAUUCGUGGUGUAGCGGUGAAAUGCUUAGAUAUCACGAAGAACCCCGAUUGCGAAGGCAGCUUACUAAGCUGCAACUGACAUUGAUGCUCGAAAGUGUGGGUAUCAAACAGGAUUAGAUACCCGGGUAGUC
rnacentral:rRNA from 1 species